CCCUUAGAUGUUCUGGGCCGCACGCGCGCUACAAUGAUGAAUUCAACGAGUUUAUAACCUUGGUUGAAAAGCCUGGGUAAUCUUUUGAACUUUCGUCGUGAUGGGGCUAGACCCUUGCAAUUAUUAGUCUUGAACGAGGAAUUCCUAGUAAGCACAAGUCAUCAGCUUGUGUUGAUUACGUCCCUGCCCUUUGUACACACCGCCCGUCGCUCCUACCGAUUGAAUGUUCCGGUGAGCUCUUCGGACUGCGCGGUCUGCAGUUUCUGCGUUCCGUGCGGAAAGUUGCGCAAACCUUAACAUUUAGAGGAAGGAGAAGUCGUAACA
rnacentral:rRNA from 1 species